GAUGAACGCUGGCGGCGUGCCUAAUACAUGCAAGUCGAGCGAACGGACGAGAAGCUUGCUUCUCUGAUGUUAGCGGCGGACGGGUGAGUAACACGUGGAUAACCUACCUAUAAGACUGGGAUAACUUCGGGAAACCGGAGCUAAUACCGGAUGAUAUUUUGAACCGCAUGGUUCAAAAGUGAAAGACGGUCUUGCUGUCACUAAUAGAUGGAUCCGCGCUGCAUUAGCUAGUUGGUAAGGUAACGGCUUACCAAGGCAACGAUGCAUAGCCGACCUGAGAGGGUGAUCGGCCACACUGGAACUGAGACACGGUCCAGACUCCUACGGGAGGCAGCAGUAGGGAAUCUUCCGCAAUGGGCGAAAGCCUGACGGAGCAACGCCGCGUGAGUGAUGAAGGUCUUCGGAUCGUAAAACUCUGUUAUUAGGGAAGAACAUAUGUGUAAGUAUCUGUGCACAUCUUGACGGUACCUAAUCAGAAAGCCACGGCUAACUACGUG
rnacentral:rRNA from 1 species